rnacentral:lncRNA from 1 species
AUUCUAACACAUGCUUCCUACCACAGGUGACGUUGAGUUAGUUCACUUUUGAGCCUUCUUACAGGAUGAAGAUUUCACCUCUGGGAAAGAAGGGAAGAAAUCUCUUUUUAAAAAAAUGGAUCUAGGACCCGUUUCUCAGAACUCGACCUCAGACACAGGGGAAGCAACCCCAGAUCGUCAACCAUGAGAAGACCAACCCCCAGUGCUCCUCACUACAAGGAGAGAGAAAAGUGUCUCCCUGGAUGGUCAGGCCCAGAGGCCCCUCCCUGAUGAGUCAAGAAGGAGUUACCUGCGAACAAGUCAAGGAAGAUGUUAGAACCAGAGGAGCAUCAGGACCUUGUGAUAAAAGAGCUCAGAGAAAUUAUAUAUGCACUGAAUAUGGAUGUCUGAGAGGUGGGGAAGAUUCCUUGGGGAGAUAAAUGGUUAAAGGAAUCGUAACAUCUUGUUCCGAAUGCUUCCUUUUAUCCGUUCCGUGUAGAUACGUACAAUGACCUGCAGGAAAAGAUGGCAGGUGUUAUUGCUAACACCUCUUUUUAUAGAUGAUGAUUCAGACAGAGACAGAGAGAGAGAGAGAUUAAGCAAUUUGUCUAAGGUCAAUGACUUGUAGAAUUCUGUUCUUGCAGGGCCGUAGGGAAGUAGAGCAGCAUACUUAACGCUAACAUUAGUAGAAUUUAUGAAUAUAGACACUUCUGGGAGCUUAAAAGUAACCCACACCAUUUGUGUAACAAACAAGAACACUGAGAUCCAAGGAGGUCAACUAGCCCGUCCAAG